GCCAGGGUGGCGUAGUGGUUUGAGCCUUGGACUACGACUCUGGAGAUCAGGGUUCAAAUUCCAGCUCAGCCA